rnacentral:lncRNA from 1 species
AACAAUGUUAUUAUGGCUGCAGAUAAAAUACGAUAUGUAAGCUAGAUCACACAACAUUGUAGCUAGCCACUAUACAAAUAAUUAACUACUAGACAUAUAUACCCCCAUCGAUCAUGCUAACUAGCUAGUUCCAUUAGAUUUAUUUAUCACUAGAGUUGCCAUUAUAUUGUAUAGGUCUCGAGGAACAUCGAUCUGGUCUACGGUGGGGGAAGUGUCGGGCUAAUGGGCCUGGUCUCUCGAGCGGUCUACAAUGGAGGGAGGCACGUCAUGGGGUAUGUAAACAGCAAUGAUGGCCACUCUUCAGCACUAGCUAGCAGCAGUCACACACAUGAAAAGAAUAGCCCGAGAAACUCUGCAAAAUCAUGACAAAAAAAAAGAGAGUUGGGUUGGUCGCAUCCUCAUCAGGUGCUAAAUUGCUAUACAAUUUCCCACCAUAUCUCAUUGUCGAUCCCUUGUAUAUAUGUGCAGGGUGAUUCCCAAGACCCUCAUGCCGAGAGAGGUACUGUAUGUAACCACGCUCUCACGCCUCCCUAAAACCCCUGUCAUUGUUUAAUCGCAUGCAAUGAUUCCCAUGAAUUCGACAAAGCAUGGUAGAUCAGAUUCUUUAAUUUGUUUUUUUCCUAGUACUUGUAUGUUAUGUUUAGUUUUACAAUGCAAGUAGUUUUUUUUUAUAUUUACAUGUGAAAAUAGAUUUUCUUUCUUUCUCUGAAAUGAAAAUAAGGAUGCAGGCUUAAUUAUCUUCUCUGGACUGAAAGACCACGCUGAAUGUUCAGUGAAAAUCCGGGUUUCCUUUUCCCCUGGUGAUAGAUGAGAUCUUGUGGCAUCUUGCUGAUCCUGACUGCUGCUUGCCUGCUUCUAGUGUCUGCCCCUUCGUCCUUUAAGCAGAUAAUGACUUUUGUUAACAAAAAUAGAUGUCCCUCACAUUUCCCUUUUUGUCCCCCACAACAACACCAUGAUUACUUCUCCUGAACAAUGCAUGCACACCUAGGGUAAAAUAAAAUACUCUCAGUACAGCCACCCACCCUUAGGCUAUGGAGUGUGUUGAUUACAUUACAGGCAUGCAGCAUCCGUGUUUGCUUGUGUGUGCAGAUAACAGGUGAGACGGUUGGGGAGGUGAAGGCUGUGGCAGGUAUGCAUCAGAGGAAAGCUGAGAUGGCCAGGCAAUCUGACGCCUUCAUAGCACUUCCUGGUAGUGACUUCUUUUUACUACCAUGCUGAUUGAGCCGACAUGUUUGUAGAUGUGGUUCACUUUUUACUGUCGCUUUCGCUAACGAACCUGGCCAUGUCACAUAUAUAUACUGGAUCCAUGCGUAGUGGCAACAUGGGUGGAAAGUUGUAAACCUCCCAAAUUGGUUUGUCCGGUUGGUUGGUUGGUUGGUGCCAUGAGGUUUCUCUCAUCUUUUGAAAAUCCUCAGGACCCUUUCGUCUAGCUCAAUUUGCUCAGCGAAGGCCUUAUUAUUUCUGUCACAGAAAGUAAACUGUUCCUUCGAUGACACAGGAGGGUAUGGAACCCUUGAGGAGCUGCUGGAAGUGAUCACCUGGGCGCAGCUUGGCAUUCACGACAAGCCGGUACGUACGUACUGGUUCUUCAUGGCCUGCAACUCAUUUUACUGAAUAUUCAUCUCGUAUUGGGUGUGCAACAGGUUGGCCUGCUAAACGUGAACGGAUACUACAACUCCCUGCUGUCCUUCAUCGACAAGGCCGUAGAGGAAGAGUUCAUCAGCCCGACUGCUCGCCACAUCGUCGUCCUGGCACCGACGCCAAAGGAACUGCUUGACAAGCUAGAGGUAGUCUCAUCUGCUGACAAAAAACGUGUGCAGCGAGGAAAGGAAACUCGAUCUGUGAGUGUGUGACGAGUGGCACUGGAAGCUGACGUCUGGUUUCCUGGAUCCGCAGGAGUAUUCCCCGCGGCACGAGAAGCUAGGUCGUGCCGAAGACGAGGUGGGAGACGGAGCAGCUGAUGAGCAACUGCAAGAGCUGCGAGGUCCCGCCGGGGCUCAAGCUCAAAGAUGGGAAGCCGAUCGUCCAGGCGCAGAGAGCUAGGAACCAUGCUCUGAAUUAGUGCCAGUAGCACGCGCCUAAUGUCGGGAUAUCGACUGGUCAAUGUAAUCUGGUAUUGGCUAUGUAUCAGCUGUAUUUAUUCUAGGAGAUGAGAUUUUUAUGUGCGUUAUGCAAUUCGAGUUUCUAGUAGCAGAUGCAAAUGAGGAGGUGUUACUGGACUAUCAUUAGUGUGUGCACUGAGCGGGCUGGCAGUCGAUAACCGCGUGCAGCGCUGACUCCUGAGGCAGAUCAGAAAGUUUUCAGAAGCAAAAUGUUUCGGCCCGGCCCGGCCCAUUUCAGCUGUGGGAUCGUCGGUACAGGCACGCACAAGAAAAGAGUGAGACCGAAGGCUCACCGAACCGUGGCGGGGAUAGCUGUUGGCGAGCCAUUGCCUUCGCUUGCAUCCCCAGGAACUCCCCCUCGCUUUAUUCACAACCACAACCACCUCCCAACUAACCUUGUGCUCCAAGUGAGCAGAAAAAACGAGGGGCCGAAAACCUCCUCCUUGUGUUUUGUUUGCCAAUUAUUGGAGCCUACAGAUGAACGAACACUUUUCUUUUUUUUUUAGCGUGGCUUAUUUGUAUUCGGAGUGGCUUUAGGUCGCGAUGGUUCUCUCGUGAUGCAGUCUGGCUGGGUUGACUGUUGCCCGGUUCAGCUGAAAAUGCAUGGGUUGCUGCUGAAAACCCAUGUGUCUGGAUAUGGUGGGAUGUCUGUCCCUGUGGUCUGGAAACUACCAGGUGACCCAGAACUGAUGGCCCCAACUCGUGUCAAGUCCGUCAAGGCUCUGUUCCGGCAAAGUGAUCGGAAAGAAAUAUGCUGCGGUGGUUCUGUUCCAGCACAAGGAACCAAGAGCGGUGGCAAGAGGUGACCAGAAACAAGUGUCAGAUCAGGGCAAGAUUAAAAAAAAAAUUUGGACCGCAAAAGGUCACAGGAGGUGGAGACAUCCCCAUGAAUUCCUUGAUCCUUUUGCAAGGGAAUUCGGAAGAAGAAGAAAAAAACUGAAACAUGGCACGCAUAAUUAUCGGUCUGACUGACGACGAUGUGUCGGUAUGUUAAGCCAUCCAACGUAAGUCUUCUUAGCUCUAAGGUUCAUCGGCCCGCACAUCACGGGGUAACAACAGGCGGCUGGUAAUUAGAGAUACUAUUUGACUAUCCACAACAAGACACGUACAGCCAGUGACUAGCGGUGAGUAUGCCAGUCACACACGCACACCAGCGACCUGUUCGAAGGUAGCCUACCCCCUCCGUAGUAGAGUAUGCUUGCUAAUUAACGUCGCGGUCCGUUCGUCUUUCCGGCACCAACUCUCUCUCUUUCUCUCACUGUUCAUCCUAGCGUCGUUUUCUAUGCUUGCCAAGGACCGAAGCAUCCACCUCUGCAGCCUGCACCUCCCCACCCUGUAAAACUCUCAACAUAAAAGUGCGUCGCCCUGCCCUUUCUUCCUCUUCCAAGGAGAACAACCACCGCCUCUCUCCCCCGUCUAUCUCUUCUUGGAGCCUGGAGAAGAGGAAGGAUCAGGGAACGGGGGAAGAGGUUGCUGCCACAGCUCAGGUCUCAAGUAAGCGCCAAUUCAUUCGGACUGUCGUCUGAUCUGAUCUUUUUUUUAUCUAUCAAUGCUGUUUGCUUCCCACUUCCCAUGUCUAGUCGGCUCUAGAGGCUGUAUCUGGCUUCGAACUGUUGUGUUCGUUUCUUCAUUAUAUGCUCUUUUCAAUUAUGACAGUGUAGCUCAUAAACAUAACUGUUGACAAGCCUGCACAAUAUCAAAAUAUACUUCUUGUCCGGAUAGAUUCAGAGAAGCGAUUAUUAUGAUUACAGGAGCUACUCAUACGAACAGUGAAAUGUGUGUGUUAACUGUUUUGCAUCGUCAUAAUCUGAAGCCACCCGAACAGCAUAGUACAUCCUUCCCAUUUCCCCCUGAUUCGUUAUGCUCUCUCUCUCUCUCUCUCUCUCUCUCUAUCUCUCUAUAUAUAAGAUUUAUUUUCACGGUCUUGCUUAUACUGCUAUUAGCACGGUAGGAGUUUGAAAGUUCUGUCAAUUAACACAAUAGACAUUUGAAAGUUACCUGGCCCGGUAGGCUAUUAGCAUGUACCUUCCUUCAUCCCAUAUGCUAUGGGCCAAACUGCCUACGUGAACAAGAUGCACACGAAAGCUACAAGUCAGGAAUCCCAGAGCAUCGGGUUAGCGCAGAUGAGCAUUAACGAUUCUGGUCGUCGUUUAACGGUUGGCUAUUAUUUCGGCUGCAAAUUAAACCUUAUACCGCGUCUGAUGAUGUCCAUGAAAUAGUUGAGUAGAGCUGCCUUUACGGCAAUCCGAAGCUAUGUUGGAUGCAACUAGCCUUUCAGCACGUACAUCUGCAGCAUGUGUGCAUGACCUCCCUUCUGGCUGCUUUUAAGCUUUCGCGUAUCGAUAGGUUUUUUUUAAAAAAAAUAUUAAAAAACAUAAAUUGAUCUGGGUUGCGAGUCCCCAUCAAUUUAGUUGGCAACAGAAUGAAAUAAGAACCAAUCUAAAGAGAGCAUAGUCUUAUGUCAUGGAGAUUGUUGCAUUAGGAUUUUCCAUCCAUUUCCACCACAGCAAAAUGUCAGUUUCAACAAAUUUCCUUCUCAACCACUUGGGUCUUACCAACCAUGCAAAGCUACUUCUUAAGCAACAUGUUAUAACCACCAAACACAUGAAGCGUGCGGUGGAUUGUGAUAAAUAAUCUGCUGCUCUCACCUGUUUGUGGCAGCGGGCAGCACCCAUAGUGACUGCUCCCUCUCCUCUUGUUCAUAGGACACUAGAGUAUGCCUAUUGCAAUAGUAGGUAGAAUAGCACCAGGUAUCACUUUGCCCAGUAUGCGUUUGGAACAGAUUAUACUGAUUCAGGUGAGAAACGGAACUGAUUCCAGCUGCCAAACACACCCUAAUCAAUAAUAGGCAUGUUGGGUUACUACUUACUAGCCUUAGUUGCUUUAUGUGAUUCGUUUGUGAUGACCGACAUGUGUCAUGAUUAGCCUUGAUUGGUGUGAGCAUAUUAUAUGUGGCAAGCCAACAAGUGCCAGGCUUACGUUUUUUGUGAUGUCUAUGUGACGCAUAUCCACCAGAUUGAACAAAUGGAAUCUCUUCUUCCUAUAACCAGCAAUAAAGGAGAUUCAAGGAUACCAUCUACGAAGUGUUCUUGUCCAUGAAUUGGGCUUGGGCCAGCUAAGAUUAUGGCCACCCCUUGCAUUCUACAAAUAAAAUCAUGGGUUCUGGCAACAAGGAUGCUAUAGUCAAACAAAUGCUAACUACCACCCAGCCCGUUCUGUGCUCAAGUGAGUUAGGGCACCAAUGGUUCAAUACUACUAAUUCAUAACAACAAAUGGACAGCAUUACUUUAACAAAAGACUAUGGUAGUACAACAGCAAUAAGUUCAGGCCAAACAUACACAGGGAACGAACUCGAUAUGCUUUUAUUUUCUCAAGUUUAGUAUGCAUACCUUAGACUACUCUUUACAGGUUUGGAUUCAGACAAGUAGACAAACACCAGUUGGUUAAGAUGGCAGCUGGUUUCCAGAUCGGUGUGAUCGGGUCACUUGCACUCUCUGUUGCAUCUUCAGUUUCCAUUGUCCUCUGCAACAAAGCUCUCAUCAGCACACUUGGUUUUCCAUUCGGUUAGUACAACAUACUUUGUUUUUCCAUGCAUCGAUGGAAUAACAAAACAUCAUGGAUGCACCAAAUUUGCAUACUACCAGAGUGUGAUGUCGACUUGCCUUGUUUACGAACCAAUGCAGCUACAACAUUAACAAGCUGGCAUCUGAUGGUGACCUUCUGCACCCUCCAUGUGGCACAGCGCUUACGUUUCUUCGAGCCCAAGGCAAUUGAUGGACAGACAGUCAUACUCUUUGGGUUGCUGAAUGGCACGUCAAUUGGUCUUCUCAAUCUGAGUUUAGGAUUCAACUCCAUUGGAUUCUACCAGGUAAGUUCGUCUAGGUACCAUUUUUAUAUAAAACAUGAGCAGAUACAUUAAACUAAGCUCUACAGAUGACAAAAUUGGCGAUCAUACCUUUCACUGUGCUAUUGGAGACUAUCUUCUUGAAGAAAAGAUUCAGGUUUGAGAGCAGUUUUCUCACAAUAUUGAACCUCAUUUAUGG